ensembl:lncRNA
CCCCGCCAGCUGCUGUGCUGCGCCCUGCGGGAUGGCAUUGAUGGCAUCGGUGGCACCUGGUGGCACCCAGUGUCACCUCCGCCAGCUGCUGCGCUGCACCCUGCGGGAUGGCAUUGAUGGCAUCGGUGGCACCUGGUGGCACCUUUGCCAGCUGUGCCCUGUAAGAUGGCAUCGAUGGCAUCAGUGGCAUCUGGUGGCACCCAGUGUCACCUCCACCAACUGUGCCCUGUGGGAUCGAUGGCAUCAGCGGCACCUGGUGUCACCUCCGCCAGCUGCUCCCUGCAGGAUCGAUGGCACCGGUGGCACCUGGUGACAUCUGCUGUCACCUCCACCAGCUGCCACGUGGCGCCCUGCGGGAUUGAUGGCAUCAGUGGCACCUGGUGGCACCCAGUGUCACCUCUGCCAGCUGCUGCGCUGCGCCCUGUGGGAUCGAUGGCAUUGGUGGCACCUGGUGGCACCCAGUGUCACCUCCGCCAGCUGUGCCCUGCAGAAUGGGGCUGGGGACCUCCAAAGGGACCCGAAAUGUCAUCAGAGGGACCCGAAAUGGGGCUGGGGACCCCCAGAGGGAUCUGCCCCCCGGUGCCCCCCCGGCCAGCUGCUGCACCGUGCCCUGCGGGAUGGCAUCGAUGGCAUCGGUGGCACCCAGUGUCACCUCCGCCAGCUGCCGCGCCGCACCCUGCAGGUUGGCAUUGAUGGCAUCGGUGGCACCUGGUGUCACCUCCACCAGCUGUGCCCUGCGGGAUGGCAUUGAUGGCAUCGAUGGCACCGGUGGCAUCUCCACCAGCUGUGCCCUACAGGAUUGAUGGCAUCAAUGGCAUCAGUGGCACCUGGUGGCACCCAGUGUCACCUCCACCAGCUGCCGCGCUGCGCCCUGCGGAAUCAAUGGCAUCAGUGGCACCUGGUGACAUCUGGUGUCACCUCUGCCAGCUGCUGCACUGCGCCCUGUGGGAUGGCACUGGUGGCACCCGGUGUCACCUCCACCAGCUGUGCCCUGCAGGAUGGGGCUGGGGACCCCCAGAGGGACCCGAAAUGUCAUCAGAAGGCCCCAGAAUAGGGCUGGGAACCCCGCAAGACCCGAAAUGUUAUCAGAGGGCCCCGGAAUGGGGCUGGGGACCCCGCAGGACCCGAAAUGUCAUCAGAGGGCCCAGAACAGGGCUGGGGACCCCCAGCAGGACCCGAAAUGUCAUCAGAGGACCCCAGAAUGGGGCUGGGGACCCCCAGAGGGACCUGAAAUGGGGUUGGGGACUCCCAGAGGGACCCAAAAUGUCAUCAGAGGGACCUGAAAUGGGGCUGGGGACCCCCAGAAGGACCCGAAAUGUCAUCAGAGGGCCCCGGAAUGGGGCUGGGGACCCCCAGAGGGAUCCGAAAUGUCAUCAGAGGGCCAGAAUGGGGCUGGGGACCCCCAGAGGGAUCCGAAAUGUCAUCAGAGGGCCCCGGAAUGGGGCUGGGGACCCCCAGAGGGACCUGAAAUGGGGCUGGGGACCCCCAGAAGGACCCGAAAUGUCAUCAGAGGGCCCCGGAAUGGGGCUGGGGACCCCGCAGGACCCGACCUGGCUGCGCUUGUCCCCCUCCACGCUGGCCUUGAUGUGGGCGUCGUACUCCUGGAACAGGUGGUGA